rnacentral:misc_RNA from 1 species
AACGCACAUUGCGCCCCUUGGUAUUCCAUGGGGCAUGCCUGUUCGAGCGUCAUUUGUACCUUCAAGCUUUGCUUGGUGUUGGGUGUUUGUCCUCUCCUUGGUGUUUGGACUCGCCUUAAAACAAUUGGCAGCCAGUGUUUUGGUAUUGAAGCGCAGCACAAUUUGCGAUUCUGGCCUUAAAAUACUAGCAUCCAUAAGUAUUUUCUCACUUUUGACCUCGGAUCAGGUAGGGAUACCCGCUGAACUUAA